rnacentral:lncRNA from 1 species
UUAAUAAACGAGUUUGUUGUAAAUUAUGCUCCGUUGGUCUUUUUGUGUUUUCUACCCACCUUUACCUCCGUGACGGUGAGAUAUCGUGAUGUUCUUACUGGGAUAGUGUAGCUCACUCCUUAUUUAACCAUUUCAGAUCAGGAAGACAUGGUUCCCGAGCCCGUUCCACAGGAGGACGACGAAGGGGAUGCCUAGAGACUCUGUAGUCAUGCUCAUAGUUUUGUUUUCGAGUUUCUCUUUUAGUUAGUUUAACCUUU